AGGAGUGUAGCUCAGUUGGUAGAGCAUCGGUCUCCAAAACCGAGGGUCAUGGGUUCGAAUCCCCUCACUCCUGCCA
rnacentral:tRNA from 1 species